CUGAGCCUCGGACGCAGCCCUGCCUAUUAUUUCUCUUGACGUUCUUCCCUCUUGCUCUUGUCAUACAGUUUGGAGAUGCCGUUUUCUGUAGGCAAAUGUUACAACAGAUAGUUAUGUAGGAUAUCUGCGAGAGUCAAAAGUUAAAUCAUUUUCCGAACGUUGAGUGUUAUUCGACGGCUACUUUUUCAGGAAGUGGUCCAUCACGUGCAGAAAGAGAAAGGGGGUAACGGUACAUUCGCCCAUGCUCUAUCCGCAAUUGUCAUGUCGUUGUAUUGUUUCUUUUGACGGUUAAUUCUUUAUUAAUCAACUAUGAAAUGUGGGCUGACAAUUAGGCUUAAGUCGUUCAGUGUUUUGCCUUGGGAGUGGUUGGUUUUGCGGGCAUCAUUUGGCACAUCCCCCAAAAAUACAAAUUUUUCAACGACAGACAUCCACCCAUGGUCGUGGUACGCGCAGACUACCUGACCAAUGUUUUUUGUUUUGCCAAUUGUUUUUUUUGUCGGAUCUAACAAACUGCUCUGUUCCUGACAUACACCCACAUUCAUCACUGGAAACACAGAAUUGCUUUAAAAAAAUUGUUUUAGUAUAGUAAUGGUGCGAUAGUGACAAGAAACCUAUUUUGUGUUCAUUUUAUUUCCAGAAUGAGGUAUAUCAUUGAUGCCUUUCUUCACAUGAAGAAUCAGCGAAACAUGAAGUGGAUAGCCUAGAAGGCUAUUCAGACAGUUUUCUAGACAAUUGCCUGUAUACUGUCGUGUUCGGUGCUGCCUUUUACAAUGAAAAUGAGAAUUUGAGGAUACAAUUCUGUCUCACUGCUCUCGAACCUGGGGUUGCCGGUAGGAUAGGCGUCUAUUGCCUUGGAACACUGGCUGGGCGGUGGAGCGGCCAAUGUCGACUGUUAUCUUCGGUAGAAUAUAAUCCUGUAUAUAACUGUUACCUACAUAAAAACCAAGUAGCCUAAUAGAAAGGAUACCUCAGGGACAAUGUCUUCUCGUGCAGCACUACCUGGGAACGAGCGGAAAUCGGACCUCCAUACCUCUCUCUCUACGAGCCGCUCGGAGAAGAGCACUGGUUGGUCGAGCAGAUCACUUGGAGCACGAUGCCGGAACUCUAUUGCCUCGUGUUCGGACGAGCAGCCGCACAUCGGCAACUACCGUCUUCUCAAGACCAUCGGCAAGGGCAACUUCGCCAAGGUCAAGCUGGCCAGGCACAUCUUGACGGGCAAAGAGGUUGCAAUUAAGAUCAUUGACAAAAAUCAGCUCAACCCGACCAGCCUACAGAAGCUCUUCAGAGAGGUACGCAUCAUGAAAGGCCUCAACCACCCAAAUAUCGUGCAGCUGUUUGAGGUGAUCGAGACAGAGAAUACACUCUAUCUGAUAAUGGAGUACGCCAGUGGGGGUGAAGUGUUUGACUACCUCGUGUCCCAUGGGAGAAUGAAAGAGAAAGAGGCGCGGGCCAAAUUCCGUCAGAUUGUGUCUGCUGUACACUACUGUCACCUGAAGAACAUUGUUCACAGGGACCUUAAAGCUGAGAACCUCUUGCUGGAUGCCGACUCCAACAUCAAAAUCGCAGACUUUGGCUUCAGUAACGAGUUCACCAUGGGCAACAAGCUGGACACGUUCUGUGGCUCCCCUCCCUACGCCGCACCGGAGCUGUUCCAGGGGAAGAAGUACGACGGGCCUGAGGUGGACAUCUGGAGCCUGGGGGUCAUCCUCUACACGCUGGUCAGCGGAUCACUGCCCUUCGACGGGCAGAACCUCAAGGAGCUGCGGGAGCGUGUUCUGCGGGGGAAGUACCGCGUGCCCUUCUACAUGUCCACCGACUGCGAGGGUAUCCUGCGCAGGUUCCUGGUACUCAACCCCACCAAACGCUGCACCCUGGAGCAAAUCAUGAACGACAAGUGGAUUAACUCUGGCUACGACGGAGAAGAACUGAAGCCUCAUAUAGCGCCCCUGGAGGACCAUAAUGAUGGCAGCCGCAUCGAGGUGAUGGUGGGGAUGGGUUACACCCGUGACGACAUCAAGGACGCUCUGACCACUCGGAAGUACAACGAGGUCACCGCCACCUACCUGUUACUGGGACGCAUGAAUGAGGUGGAGGGCAGUGAGUCUCGGUCAACCAGCAGUCUGAGCCUAGCGCGGGUACGGCCCAGCACCGUCACCAACGGCACCAGUAAACACUCCACCUCCUCCACUACCUCCACCUCCUCCUCCCACAGCAAGACCACCCAGCGCAGCGCCUCCACCUACCACCCCCGCAGGAGGCACAGCGACUUCUGCGGUCCAGCAGCGCCCCCGUCCCACCCCAAGCGUAGCCCCAGCAGCGUGGCGGGGGCAGACAGGGAGCUGAAGGAGGAGGGGGGGCGCAUGGCGUCCCGGAAGGUCAGCAGCAGCGUGGUGGGCAGCCGUUCCAUCCAGCCCCCCUCCAGCCCCAUGGUCAGCAGCGCCAACAACCCCAACCAGUCAGAGAUCCCAGACCGCCGCAAGGAGAUUAACACCGCCACGAACAACGUCCCAGCAAGUGCCAUGAUCCGCCGGAACACGUACGUGUGCACAACGGACCGGAACAGCACAGACAGGCCCUCCCUACUGCAGAACGGAAAGGAGAACAGCUCCAUGUCCCACCGGCUGCCCCCGGCCUCACCCUCCACCCAUAGCAUUGCUGGGGCCUCGGGGACCUCCUCCUCUUCGGGCUCCCGCCUCACCCGGGGCUCCAGCAUCCGCAGCACCUUCCACGGGGGCCAGCUGAGGGACCGGCGGCCUCCCUCCCACGCCCCCCCCCACCUCCCCCACUCUGUCCCACGACGCCAGCCCCCUGCCCCACGCACGUACCCGCGCCACCUCCAACCUGUUCAGCAAGCUCACCUCCAAGCUCACACGCAGGGUCACAGACGAACCUGAGAGAGUCUGCAGAUCUCCGGUCACAAGUCGCCAUCUACCUGGGCAUCAAAAAGCGGCAGAGCCCCGGACCCCCCGAUGCGGCUGGGAUGUGAGGGUGCGGAGCCCGCAGGACCCAGCGGAGGUGGUGCUGGCGCUGCGCGAGGCGGCCCAGGGCUGCGGCUGCCAGGUCCACCUGGCUGGGCCCUUCCUGCUCUCCUGCACCCACGGGGUUGCUGGCUCACGCGUGGCCUUCGAGGCUGAGGUGUGCCAGCUGCCCGCAGGCCCCGCCGAGACCAGCGGCGUGCGCUUCAAACGGCUGUGGGGAGCGCCGCUCGCCUUCCGGGACAUCGCCACAAAAGUGUCCAAGGAGCUGGAGCUCUGAGGGCGACAGGGGGUGGGGCAGAGGGCUUCUACACUGGACAGACUGACCGAGGGGGCGGGAGAAGGAGACGGGCAGAACCCGCUACCCCCACUGCCAACCUCGCCUCACCCCCGCCAAAGACCCGCUUCUGGUGCCACACGGACACGCAGACGCACCGGCACGGAUGGUCCGGGCCCGCCACUCACAGACCUAUGACCUACAAACCCUGCUGAGGCACCUCAAUAUUAUGUGAAUCUACGGAGUCGAGCAGUUAUUUUUUAAUUCCAUAUUUGCAGAUGAAGAUAUUUUUCGUCAAUGUCGUUAUGAUUAUAUUAUAUUUGUUGUCAUUCAUUUUUAACAGCUGCUAUUUAAGAGGUUUUUUAAUUUAGUUUUUCUUUUUUUCGCUUCAAUGAGUGAUUGACGCAGACUGAAUGCAUAUUUAAGAAACAAGGGGCCAGUCCUUUCCCAGACAAAACUCCAGGAUAUAGAGCAGGGGUGUCAAACUCAUUUUGCCCUGGAGGCCGCAUUCGGUCUUCAACAAGGUCCGGAGGGCCGCACUGAAAAUGUGUUAUAUUUCCUCGCCGUCAAAACUUUCCAAAAAUAGUCCUCUACCCAUACUUUUUAAAUGAUUAUGCUCCCUGACUGUCUAGCUUUAUUUUGGAGAGUAUUAACAAGCUGGAUACAGUCAAUAAACUGUAUGAAUGUAGGUCCAUUAUCUUAUCAUUUCUACACAGUUUCAAUUUGGUUGUAGUCAUUUUAAAGUAUACUAUUGUUUUGUUUUACUCUAACCCGCGGGCCAGAUUGGACCCCCUCGCGCACCGAAUCCUGCUCGCGGGCCAUAUGUUUGACACCCCUGCCUUAUAGGGAGACAUACAGAAAUGCAGACGGACAACAACAAAAAACAAUGCUGUAAAACAAAAUGGCAGAUCCUUCUGCCCAUCCAUUGCGUCUGCUCAAUUCUGUAAGACCCCCUCUGCUACUCUCAUCAAGUUUUAUUUUGUGUUUUGUAUAUACCGGUAUGUUGGUUACCAAUGAGCAAAGCUGUCUGACUUCAAUGUCUAAAACGGAGUAGGUGAUGACUGCUCUUCUGAGCCACUAACCCUUUGAUUUUCUGCGUUUCAGCAGGUAAUGUACACAGGCAUUCUACACGUUCUUCUGGUAGCACUUUUGGUUUAGCAAUAUCACCUCUUCAAUUGUAUUUCCUCUUAAAUGGUACAGCACAUUCACCGGGCCAAGAUUCCAAACAUGAUUUGAUAUAAGCGGUGUUUAGUAUAAUGUUGGGGAACAUCGAUUGUCACAUUUCAAGGAAUCACAAAUGGAUCACUUUUUUGUAUAAGAUGACCCAAGAUUGCAUAAACAAAGAGAAUUGGAUCAACUCCUAAUUUUCUGCUCAAAAAUAAAAUAAUAUCAUUGAUCACACAGACUAUAACAACUACAGCGACGCUUGUUGAAUUGCAUUCAGUAUUUCAAUUGGUCAGCAAAACAGGCGUUGUGUAGCCGCUUCCCUUCUGGUAACCAAUCAGCCUUCUGUAUUCCUGAGUGACGUACGAGAGUGAGUUUAGAAUGUGACCCUGGGUGACGCUGUUGAAAUCAACCCUGACACUCUUCUAUAAAUGAAGCACGCUCCCAAGCUCCUCACGAUAGAUCCAAGUCAGGUAGAUAGUCACUCACUCAGGCCUUGACUGUUUUGUCACUGGCUUUGGUUUGCACCAAUAAACAGUAAUGAUCCUUGUCGCCUGGCAGUGGGUCACAGCAGCAGACAUGCCAGAUCUUCAUUCCCAGUUGGUGCAGUGAGCUGCAGUGGUCUCUUCUAGUUUAGAUCUCAGAACCAUGUUUCUAUUUUCUCAGCUCAGACUGUUGGUGUCGCUAAAUGUUCCUCAACCUUUCUUGUUUGCUGAAAGUCUGUCUGGUCUUUAAAUGGCUCAAAGGUUCAUCAACAGUGGAUGAUGUUCUCAUUACAGAAUGUGUUUGUCACUGUUCCAGUAUGAUGUCAUUUCUACAGUAUGUAACAUCCCAGUUAUAUUCCGUAACCUGUGACACCACUGACCGUCUUCGCCAGCCUGCCCACACUGGACUGCUUGCCCAACACACUCACAAAUCAUCAGUUGUUUUCAAACUCCACCAUUUUCCACCUUAUUCCUUUUGGCAAAAUUUGUAUUGCACACGUGUAUGGCAGUAUUACAUAGUAAUCCAUGACACUACUAUGACUUCAGUUUGCCCGUUGCGAGGAAUCAUGGGAGUUUUUAGUUGCAACAGGUGGCCACAAAUGUCUUAAAAUGUGAAAGCUGUGAUUUAGGGCAAUUCUUUUGCAACUUUGCCCAAAAUAGGACCUCUCUUGCCCAACAAUUUCCAUCUGUAUUGCUAAAAGCUUAGGACCAUGCUUCAAGAGUAGGAAGUAGUUGUGCGUUUGAAGCAGUCGCUGUUAUCGAUAAAACGGAGUGCAACUAUGGAAAUUACUGACCUGCAGUCCUGCAUGUCUCCGAGGAAAAUUGUAUGAAGCAAAAAUAAAUUCUCCUUUCAAAUUCUGA